rnacentral:lncRNA from 1 species
UGUGUUUUGUGCCUUUGUCUCCCUUACAAGAAUCCAUUAAGAUUCAAAACCAGAAACUAGAUGAUUUACCCAUUGCCUCACACACUGGUGAGUUGUUUCUUACACAGGAUUUGUUUCUCCUAAACUGCAGGCUGCCAAUUGGGCUGAAGCUAUGAGAAGGUGAAAUUGACACUUGGCUAUAUGAAGGUGUACAGUCCUUGGGGAUGAGAGGAGUAGAGGAAGAAACCCUGAAUCAGAAAAGAACAAGAACUCAGAACUCCAGGAUACUCUGCUUAAAAUUCAUCAGAUUCAUCUGGUUACUUCUUCAGGACAAAGCAAGUAAUAUACAUCUGCGGACCUCACACUGAAUGUGCUGUGGCUGCUGGGUAGGACAGGAAUAGAUGUAAAGACAAGAUCUUCUGGAGGAGUUGGAGUUGAUGAAAUCCAGAGAUAUAUGAGAGGUAAGAGGUGGAUAUUCAGGGGGAAAGUCAGCAACACUUAGCUUUUGCAAUAAAGCAAUUGUCUUUAUAUAGUACCACCUUCUUGGUGGUGGUGGGUUGGGGAGAGAAUUUACAGUACUCAGAAGAUAAAAAUUUUGAAUU